CAUUAUGUAGAAAGAGAAACAGGUUC
rnacentral:piRNA from 1 species